rnacentral:rRNA from 1 species
GAUGAACGCUGGCGGCGUGCUUAACACAUGCAAGUCGAACGGAAAGGCCCUGCUUGCCGGGUACACGAGAGGCGAACGGGGGUGUAACACGUGGGGGAUCUGCGCCUUACUUUGGGGUAAGCCUGGGAAACUGGGUCUCUUACCCAAGAUGUCAACUGCUUGGAUGCGGUUGUGGGAAGCUUUUGCGGUAUGGGAGGGGCGCGCGGCCUAUCAGCUUGUUGGUGGGGUGAUGGCCUACCAAGGCGUCGACGGGGAGACGGCCUGAGAGGGUGUACGGCCACAAUGGGACUGGGAUACCGCCCAGACCCCCACCGGGGGGCGCAGGGGGGAAUAUUUGCCAAAGGGGGCGAGGCUGGUGGAGCGACGCCGCGGGGGGGGUUACGGGCUUCGGGGUGGAAACCCCUUUCGCAACCGGCGAAGGCUUUUUGUGACGGUAGGUGGAGAAGAAGCACCGGCUAACUACGUG